rnacentral:rRNA from 1 species
AUACGGAGGGUGCAAGCGUUGUUCGGAAUCACUGGGCUUAAAGCGCGCGUAGGCGGGUAGUUAAGUGCCUUGUGAAAUCCCACGGCUUAACCGUGGAAUUGCAGGGCAUACUGGCUAUCUUGAGGCAAGUAGGGGUGCAUGGAACUCUGAGUGGAGCGGUGAAAUGCGUAGAUAUUCAGAGGAACGCCAGUGGAGAAAUCGGUGCACUGGGCUUGUCCUGACGCUGAGGUGCGAAAGCGUGGGUAGCGAACGGGAUUAGAUACCCCUGUAGUCC